AUACGUAGGUGGCAAGCGUUGUCCGGAAUUACUGGGUGUAAAGGGAGCGUAGGCGGGAAUGCAAGUUGAAUGUUAAAACUAUGGGCUUAACCCAUAUCUGCGUUCAAAACUGUAUUUCUUGAGUGAAGUAGAGGUAGGCGGAAUUCCGAGUGUAGCGGUGAAAUGCGUAGAUAUUCGGAGGAACACCAGUGGCGAAGGCGGCCUACUGGGCUCUAACUGACGCUGAGGCUCGAAAGUGUGGGGAGC
rnacentral:rRNA from 1 species